AUUCAUAACCCUGAGGUCACGGGUUCAACUCCCGUCCUCGCUA
rnacentral:tRNA from 1 species